rnacentral:rRNA from 1 species
AAACCUUUGCAAUAAGCGAAAGCUUGACAGGGCUAUCCCGAGUGCCAUCCGCUGAGGAAGGCUUUUACCCAGUCUAGAAAGCUGGGGGAAUAAGGAGAGGGCAAGUCUGGUGUCAGCCGCCGCGGUAAUACCAGCUCUUCGAGUGGUGUGGAUGUUUAUUGGGCCUAAAGCAUCCGUAGCUGGCUAGGUCAGUCCCUUGUUAAAUCCACCGAAUUAAUCGUUGGAUCGCGGGGGAUACUGCUUGGCUAGGGGACGAGAGAGGCAGACGGUAUUUUCGGGGUAGGGGUGAAAUCCUAUAAUCCCGGGAAGACCACCAGUGGCGAAGGCUGUCUGCUAGAACGCGCCCGACGGUGAGGGAUGAAAGCUGGGGGAGCGAACCGGAUUAGAUACCCGGGUAGUCCCAGCUGUAAACGAUGCAGACUAGGUGUUUGGACGGCCCACGUGCCGUUCUAGUGCCGCAGGGAAGCUGUUAAGUCUGCCGCCUGGGGAGUACGAUCGCAAGAUUGAAACUUAAAGGAAUUGGCGGGGGAGCACCACAAGGGGUGAAGCUUGCGGUUUAAUUGGAGUCAACGCCGGAAAUCUCACCGGGAGCGACAGCAGUAUGAAAGCCAGAUUGAAGGUCUUGCUAGACGAGCUGAGAGGAGGUGCAUGGCCGUCGCCAGUUCGUGCCGUGAGGUGUCCUGUUAAGUCAGGCAACGAUCGAGACCCGCGUCCUCUGUUGCAACCAGCUUUGAGCUGGGCACACUGAGGAGACCGCCACUGAUAAAGUGGAGGAAGGAGCGGGCCACGGCAGGUCAGUAUGCCCCGAAUCUCCCGGGCCACACGCGAGCUGCAAUGGCAAGUACAAUGGGUUCCGACCUCGAAAGGGGGAGGCAAUCUCGAAAGCUUGCCGUAGUUGGAAUUGAGGGUUGAAACCCACCCUCAUGAACAUGGAAUCCCUAGUAAUCGCGUGUCACUAGCGCGCGGUGAAUACGUCCCUGCUCC